GACGAACGCUGACGGCGUGCUUAACACAUGCAAGUCGAACGGAAAGACCCUGCUUUUGUGGGGUGCUCGAGUGGCGAACGGGUGAGUAACACGUGAGUAACCUGCCCUUGACUUUGGGAUAACUUCAGGAAACUGGGGCUAAUACCGGAUAGGAGCUCCUGCUGCAUGGUGGGGGUUGGAAAGUUUCGGCGGUUGGGGAUGGACUCGCGGCUUAUCAGCUUGUUGGUGGGGUAGUGGCUUACCAAGGCUUUGACGGGUAGCCGGCCUGAGAGGGUGACCGGCCACAUUGGGACUGAGAUACGGCCCAGACUCCUACGGGAGGCAGCAGUGGGGAAUAUUGCACAAUGGGCGGAAGCCUGAUGCAGCAACGCCGCGUGCGGGAUGACGGCCUUCGGGUUGUAAACCGCUUUCGCCUGUGACGAAGCGUGAGUGACGGUAAUGGGUAAAGAAGCACCGGCUAACUACGUG
rnacentral:rRNA from 1 species